rnacentral:SRP_RNA from 1 species
UGGUCUUACGCAAUGGAGAACUGCGAACCGUGUCAGGUCGGGAACGAAGCAGCACUAAACAGCCUCUUCAUGUGCCGUAAGGAAGCCG